UAGUUAUGAGCGUUAAGAACGCCACGUUGACAUCGUGGAGGUCACUGGUUCGAGUCCAGU
rnacentral:tRNA from 1 species